UUUUUGGAGAGUUUGAUCCUGGCUCAGGACGAACGCUGGCGGCGUGCCUAAUACAUGCAAGUCGAGCGAAUCUGAUGGGAGCUUGCUCCCUGAUGAUUAGCGGCGGACGGGUGAGUAACACGUGGGUAACCUGCCUGUAAGACUGGGAUAACUCCGGGAAACCGGGGCUAAUACCGGAUAACUUUUUUCUUCGCAUGAAGGAGAAUUGAAAGAUGGCUCCGGCUAUCACUUACAGAUGGACCCGCGGCGCAUUAGCUAGUUGGUGAGGUAAUGGCUCACCAAGGCGACGAUGCGUAGCCGACUUGAGAGGGUGAUCGGCCACACUGGGACUGAGACACGGCCCAGACUCCUACGGGAGGCAGCAGUAGGGAAUCUUCCGCAAUGGACGAAA
rnacentral:rRNA from 1 species